rnacentral:rRNA from 1 species
GAUGAACGCUGGCGGCGUGCCUAAUACAUGCAAGUCGAGCGAACAGACGAGGAGCUUGCUCCUCUGACGUUAGCGGCGGACGGGUGAGUAACACGUGGAUAACCUACCUAUAAGACUGGGAUAACUUCGGGAAACCGGAGCUAAUACCGGAUAAUAUAUUGAACCGCAUGGUUCAAUAGUGAAAGACGGUUUUGCUGUCACUUAUAGAUGGAUCCGCGCCGCAUUAGCUAGUUGGUAAGGUAACGGCUUACCAAGGCAACGAUGCGUAGCCGACCUGAGAGGGUGAUCGGCCACACUGGAACUGAGACACGGUCCAGACUCCUACGGGAGGCAGCAGUAGGAAAUCUUCCGCAAUGGGCGAAAGCCUGACGGAGCAACGCCGCGUGAGUGAUGAAGGUCUUCGGAUCGUAAAACUCUGUUAUUAGGGAAGAACAAAUGUGUAAGUAACUAUGCACGUCUUGACGGUACCUAAUCAGAAGCCACGGCUAACUACGUG